rnacentral:rRNA from 1 species
GACGAACGCUGGCGGCGUGCUUAACACAUGCAAGUCGAGCGGUAAGGCUCCUUCGGGAGUACACGAGCGGCGAACGGGUGAGUAACACGUGAGUAAUCUGCCCUUCACUUCGGGAUAACCACCGGAAACGGUGGCUAAUACCGAAUACGACCAGUCUUCGCAUGAGGUGCUGGUGGAAAGUCUUUUCGGUGAAGGAUGUGCUCGCGGCCUAUCAGCUUGUUGGUGGGGUAAUGGCCUACCAAGGCUUCGACGGGUAGCCGGCCUGAGAGGGUGACCGGCCACACUGGGACUGAGACACGGCCCAGACUCCUACGGGAGGCAGCAGUGGGGAAUAUUGGACAAUGGGCGAAAGCCUGAUCCAGCAACGCCGCGUGAGGGAUGACGGCCUUCGGGUUGUACACCUCUUUCAGUACCGACGAAGCGCCCUGUCGGGUGGUGACGGUAGGUACAGAAGAAGGACCGGCCAACUACGUG